rnacentral:rRNA from 1 species
CAGCCCUAAACGAUGCGCGUUAGGUGUAUCGGUGACCACGAGUCACCGAGGUGCCGAAGGGAAACCGUGAAACGUGCCGCCUGGGAAGUACGGUCGCAAGGCUGAAACUUAAAGGAAUUGGCGGGGGGAGCACCACAACGGGUGGAGCCUGCGGUUUAAUUGGACUCAACGCCGGGAAGCUCACCGGAUAAGACAGCGGAAUGAUUGCCGGGCUGAAGACCCUGCAUGACCAGCUGAGAGGUGGUGCAUGGCGU